GAUGAACGCUGGCGGCGUGCCUAAUACAUGCAAGUCGAGCGAACAGACGAGGUGCUUGCUCCUCUGACGUUAGCGGCGGACGGGUGAGUAACACGUGGAUAACCUACCUAUAAGACUGGGAUAACUACGGGAAACCGGAGCUAAUACCGGAUAAUAUAUUGAACCGCAUGGUUCAAUAGUGUAAGACGGUUUUGGUGUCACUUAUAGAUGGAUCCGCGCCGCAUUAGCUAGUUGGUAAGGUAACGGCUUACCAAGGCGACGAUGCGUAGCCGACCUGAGAGGGUGAUCGGCCACACUGGAACUGAGACACGGUCCAGACUCCUACGAGAGGCAGCAGUAGGGAAUCUUCCGCAAUGGGCGAAAGCCUGACGGAGCAACGCCGCGUGAGUGAUGAAGGUCUUCGGAUCGUAAAACUCUGUUAUUAGGGAAGAACAAAUGUGUAAGUAACUAUGCACGUCUUGACGGUACCUGAUCAGAAAGCCACGGCUAACUACGUG
rnacentral:rRNA from 1 species